rnacentral:ncRNA from 1 species
CUUCAGGGCGGGGUGCAAGUCCCCACCGGCAGUAAAGUCUGCGAACUGCUUUGGCAGCUGAUCUGGUGCAAUUCCAGAACCGACAGUGAUAGUCUGGAUGGAAGAAGAU